rnacentral:rRNA from 1 species
AUUGAACGCUGGCGGCAUGCCUUACACAUGCAAGUCGAACGGCAGCACGGGUGCUUGCACCUGGUGGCGAGUGGCGAACGGAUGAGUAAUACAUCGGAACGUACCUUAUCGUGGGGGAUAACGCAGCGAAAGCUGUGCUAAUACCGCAUACGCCCUGAGGGGGAAAGCGGGGGAUCGCAAGACCUCGCGCGAUUAGAGCGGCCGAUGCCUGAUUAGCUUGUUGGUGGGGUAAAAGCCCACCAAGGCGACGAUCAGUAGCUGGUCUGAGAGGACGAUCAGCCACACUGGUACUGAGACACGGCCCAGACUCCUACGGGAGGCAGCAGUGGGGAAUUUUGGACAAUGGGGGCAACCCUGAUCCAGCAAUGCCGCGUGAGUGAAGAAGGCCUUCGGGUUGUAAAGCUCUUUUGUCAGGGAAGAAACACCGGCUCUAACACAGUCCGGGAAUGACGGUACCUGAAGAAUAAGCACCGGCUAACUACGUGCCAGCAGCCGCGGUAA